GAUGAACGCUGGCGGCGUGCCUAAUACAUGCAAGUCGAGCGAACGGACGAGAAGCUUGCUUUUCUGAUGUUAGCGGCGGACGGGUGAGUAACACGUGGAUAACCUACCUAUAAGACUGGGAUAACUUCGGGAAACCGGAGCUAAUACCGGAUAAUAUUUUGAACCGCAUGGUUCAAAAGUGAAAGACGGUCUUGCUGUCACUUAUAGAUGGAUCCGCGCUGCAUUAGCUAGUUGGUAAGGUAACGGCUUACCAAGGCAACGAUGCAUAGCCGACCUGAGAGGGUGAUCGGCCACACUGGAACUGAGACACGGUCCAGACUCCUACGGGAGGCAGCAGUAGGGAAUCUUCCGCAAUGGGCGAAAGCCUGACGGAGCAACGCCGCGUGAGUGAUGAAGGUCUUCGGAUCGUAAAACUCUGUUAUUAGGGAAGAACAUAUGUGUAAGUAACUGUGCACAUCUUGACGGUACCUAAUCAGAAAGCCACGGCUAACUACGUGCCAGCAGCCGCGGUAAUACGUAGGUGGCAAGCGUUAUCCGGAAUUAUUGGGCGUAAAGCGCGCGUAGGCGGUUUUUUAAGUCUGAUGUGAAAGCCCACGGCUCAACCGUGGAGGGUCAUUGGAAACUGGAAAACUUGAGUGCAGAAGAGGAAAGUGGAAUUCCAUGUGUAGCGGUGAAAUGCGCAGAGAUAUGGAGGAACACCAGUGGCGAAGGCGACUUUCUGGUCUGUAACUGACGCUGAUGUGCGAAAGCGUGGGGAUCAAACAGGAUUAGAUACCCUGGUAGUCCACGCCGUAAACGAUGAGUGCUAAGUGUUAGGGGGUUUCCGCCCCUUAGUGCUGCAGCUAACGCAUUAAGCACUCCGCCUGGGGAGUACGACCGCAAGGUUGAAACUCAAAGGAAUUGACGGGGACCCGCACAAGCGGUGGAGCAUGUGGUUUAAUUCGAAGCAACGCGAAGAACCUUACCAAAUCUUGACAUCCUUUGACAACUCUAGAGAUAGAGCCUUCCCCUUCGGGGGACAAAGUGACAGGUGGUGCAUGGUUGUCGUCAGCUCGUGUCGUGAGAUGUUGGGUUAAGUCCCGCAACGAGCGCAACCCUUAAGCUUAGUUGCCAUCAUUAAGUUGGGCACUCUAAGUUGACUGCCGGUGACAAACCGGAGGAAGGUGGGGAUGACGUCAAAUCAUCAUGCCCCUUAUGAUUUGGGCUACACACGUGCUACAAUGGACAAUACAAAGGGCAGCGAAACCGCGAGGUCAAGCAAAUCCCAUAAAGUUGUUCUCAGUUCGGAUUGUAGUCUGCAACUCGACUACAUGAAGCAGGAAUCGCUAGUAAUCGUAGAUCAGCAUGCUACGGUGAAUACGUUCCCGGGUCU
rnacentral:rRNA from 1 species